rnacentral:rRNA from 1 species
AGGGAAUCUUCCACAAUGGACGGAAGUCUGAUGGAGCAACGCCGCGUGAGUGAUGAAGGUUUUCGGAUCGUAAAACUCUGUUGUAAGGGAAGAACCACUACGUCAGGCAAUGGACGUCCCUUGACGGUACCUUAUUAGAAAGCCACGGCUAACUACGUGCCAGCAGCCGCGGUAAUACGGAGGAUGCAAGCGUUAUCCGGAUUUAUUGGGUUUAAAGGGAGCGUAGGCGGACUAUUAAGUCAGCUGUGAAAGUUUACGGCUCAACCGUGAAAUUGCAGUUGAAACUGGUCGUCUUGAGUGCAGUAAAGGUGGGCGGAAUUCGUGGUGUAGCGGUGAAAUGCUUAGAUAUCACGAAGAACUCCAAUUGCGAAGGCAGCUCACUGGAGUGUAACUGACGCUGAUGCUCGAAAGUGUGGGUAUCAAACA